UACGUAGGUGGCAAGCGUUGUCCGGAUUUACUGGGUGUAAAGGGUGCGCAGGCGGGUUGGUAAGUCAGAAGUGAAAUCUCGCGGCUUAACCGUGAAAUUGCUUUUGAUACUGCUGAUCUUGAAUUCGGGAGAGGUUGAUGGAAUUUAUGGUGUAGCAGUGAAAUGCGUAGAUAUCAUAAAGAACACCAGUGGCGAAGGCGGUCAACUGGCCCGUAAUUGACGCUCAUGCACGAAAGCGUGGGGAGCAAACAGG
rnacentral:rRNA from 1 species